GACGGAGGAGGCAAGCGUUAUCCGGAAUUAUUGGGCGUAAAGGGUACGUAGGCGGCUGGUCAAGUCUGGGGUCAAAGGCCACAGCUCAACUGAGGGAAGGCACUGGAAACUGACCGGCUAGAGUGAGGUAGGGGUUGCGGGAAUUCACGGUGUAGCGGUGAAAUGCGUAGUGAUCGGGAAGAACACCUAAGGCGGAAGCGCGCAACUGGGCCUCAACUGACGCUGCGGUACGAAAGCUAGGGGAGCGAAUGGG
rnacentral:rRNA from 1 species